AGAGUUUGAUCCUGGCUCAGAUUGAACGCUGGCGGCAUGCCUUACACAUGCAAGUCGAACGGCAGCAUGAUGUGUAGCAAUACACGUUGAUGGCGAGUGGCGAACGGGUGAGUAAUAUAUCGGAACGUGUCCUGUAGCGGGGGAUAACCUAUCGAAAGAUGGACUAAUACCGCAUACGCUCUACGGAGGAAAGCGGGGGUCGCAAGACCUCGCACUAUAGGAGCGGCCGAUAUCGGAUUAGCUAGUUGGCGGGGUAAAAGCCCACCAAGGCGACGAUCCGUAGCUGGUCUGAGAGGAUGAUCAGCCACACUGGAACUGAGACACGGUCCAGACUCCUACGGGAGGCAGCAGUGGGGAAUUUUGGACAAUGGGCGCAAGCCUGAUCCAGCCAUGCCGCGUGAGUGAAGAAGGCCUUCGGGUUGUAAAGCUCUUUCGGCAGGAACGAAAUGGUUCGUGUUAAUACCACGGACUGAUGACGGUACCUGAAGAAGAAGCACCGGCUAACUACGUGCCAGCAGCCGCGGUAAUACGUAGGGUGCAGGCGUUAAUCGGAAUUACUGGGCGUAAAGCGUGCGCAGGCGGUUUCUUAAGUCAGAUGUGAAAGCCCCGGGCUUAACCUGGGAACUGCGUUUGAAACUGGGAGACUUGAGUGUGGCAGAGGGGGGUGGAAUUCCACGUGUAGCAGUGAAAUGCGUAGAUAUGUGGAGGAACACCGAUGGCGAAGGCAGCCCCCUGGGUUAACACUGACGCUCAUGCACGAAAGCGUGGGGAGCAAACAGGAUUAGAUACCCUAGUAGUCC
rnacentral:rRNA from 1 species